GGAAAUUAUGCAAAGUGAAAUAUAUCAGAUGUAGACAGAAGAAUAAUACAUGAUCUCACUUAUACAUGGAAUUUAAAAAGUCAAAUACAUAGAAACAGAAAUCAGAACAAUGGUUAACAGGGGCAGGGAGGUGGGGUAUUUGAGGAGAUGUUGAUCAAAGAGUACAAAGUUUAAGUUGCAUAGGAUGAAUCAAGUCUAGAGAUCUAACAAACAGCAUCAUGACAACAGUUAUUCCCCUAUCCCCUCGCUGGCAGCCCGGAGGCCACACGAUGCCUGAAGUUACUGUAAAAGACGUGAACCAAGCAGGAGUUCGUCAGAGCUCUGGCAGCCUUUCUCAAAACGUCCAGGAAACUGAAAGUCCCUGAAUGGGUGAACAUCAUCAAGCUGGCCAAGCACGAAGAGAUUGCUCCCUACGACGAGAAAUGGUUCUAUACAUGAGCUGCUUCCACAAUGUGGCACCUGUACUUCUGUGAUCUAUGGGGGAUGUAAGAGAAAUAGCGUCAUGCCCAGCCACUUCAGCUGAGGCUCCAAGAGUAUGGCUGCCGGGUCCUCCAAGCCCUGGAGGGGCUGAAAAUAAUGGAUGGAAAAGGACUAAGAUGGAGGCCACAAACUGACACCUCAGGGACAGAAAGAUCUGGACAGAAUCGCCGGACAGGUGGCAGCUGCCAACAAGAAGCAUUAGAACAAACCGCUGGGUUAAAAAAUUGCCUCAUUC